rnacentral:lncRNA from 1 species
GUAGGGCAUUGGGACCUAUGGGGUGCAGUGCAGCCCUAUGGGGUGGGAGGUGGCCGCUAGGGGGCGCUGUGGGGCAUUUGGAUCUAUGGGGUGGAGGACUGCCGCUAGGGGGCGCUGUGGGGCAUUGGGAUCUAUGGGGUGGAGGACUGCCGCUAGGGGGCGCUGUGGGGCAUUGGGAUCUAUGGGGUGGAGGACUGCCGCUAGGGGGCGCUGUGGGGCAGUGGGACCUAUGGGGUACAGUGCAGCCCUACGGCAUGCAGGGUGAGAAGGGGGGCCG